rnacentral:rRNA from 1 species
CAGCCGCCGCGGUAAUACGUAGGGCGCAAGCGUUAUCCGGAAUUAUUGGGCGUAAAGAGCUCGUAGGCGGUUUGUCGCGUCUGCCGUGAAAGUCCGGGGCCCAACCCCGGAUCUGCGGUGGGUACGGGCAGACUAGAGUGAUGUAGGGGAGACUGGAAUUCCUGGUGUAGCGGUGAAAUGCGCAGAUAUCAGGAGGAACACCGAUGGCGAAGGCAGGUCUCUGGGCAUUAACUGACGCUGAGGAGCGAAAGCAUGGGGAGCGAACAGGAUUGGAUACCCCCGUAGUCCCUGUCUCUUAUAC